rnacentral:ncRNA from 1 species
AAAAAGGCAAUGAAUAGGAAGAGUAAAUCUAAUUCGGUUUUUAGAGAGGGAAAUUUAUAAGCUGUGAGAUUUCCUAAAUUAGAGGGAUUGAAAACUACCUAGGAGCUGUGGUCCGAAGUUUUAAGUAUAAUCUUAUUUUAGUAAGACCUACCGUAAGUCGCGUUAAGACUUUGAGUGGAUUUUUAUCAAAUUAGGUGGAACCGCGGGAAUUAUCUCGUCCUUUUU